UACGAAGGGGGCUAGCGUUGUUCGGAAUUACUGGGCGUAAAGCGUGCGCAGGCGGCUUCUCAAGUCAGGGGUGAAAGCCCAGAGCUCAACUCUGGAAUUGCCUUUGAGACUGAGUGGCUUGAGUACGAGAGAGGUGAGUGGAAUUCCCAGUGUAGAGGUGAAAUUCGUAGAUAUUGGGAAGAACACCGGUGGCGAAGGCGGCUCACUGGCUCGUAACUGACGCUCAUGCACGCAGCGUGGGGAUCAAACAGG
rnacentral:rRNA from 1 species